GAUGAACGCUGGCGGCGUGCCUAAUACAUGCAAGUCGAGCGAAUGGAUUAAGAGCUUGCUCUUAUGAAGUUAGCGGCGGACGGGUGAGUAACACGUGGGUAACCUGCCCAUAAGACUGGGAUAACUCCGGGAAACCGGGGCUAAUACCGGAUAACAUUUUGAACCGCAUGGUUCGAAAUUGAAUGGCGGCUUCGGCUGUCACUUAUGGAUGGAUCCGCGUCGCAUUAGCUAGUUGGUGAGGUAACGGCUCACAAAGGCAACGAUGCGUAGCCGACCUGAGAGGGUGAUCGGCCACACUGGGACUGAGACACGGCCCAGACUCCUACGGGAGGCAGCAGUAGGGAAUCUUCCGCAAUGGACGAAAGUCUGACGGAGCAACGCCGCGUGAGUGAUGAAGGCUUUCGGGUCGUAAAACUCUGUUGUUAGGGAAGAACAAGUGCUAGUUGAAUAAGCUGGCACCUUGACGGUACCUAACCAGAAAGCCACGGCUAACUACGUGCCAGCAGCCGCCGUAA
rnacentral:rRNA from 1 species